rnacentral:lncRNA from 1 species
CUAAUAGAAAUUACAGCAGAUCGACUUCUCGACAAGGGACAUUUACGCGAUUAAAAGCUAGCUCGGCUCACUGGAGCAGCCAUGCGCUCUUUCGGAAAUUUAAUCAAACAGAUUAUAUGCAAUUCACCUUCUUGCAUGCCAUGGUUUUAUCUCUCUGUGAAGAAGAUAUGAGAAUGGAGAAGCGGUCAAUUUAUGGACGGGUAUAUUGGUUUUGGGCCUGG